rnacentral:lncRNA from 1 species
CGCGGGCUCGGACGCGGGCGCGAACGUGGAUAAAUCGAUGGGAGAGAUCAUCCUUUCUCUUCUUCUAUUCUUGUUCUUUGUGUUCGUAAUCUUGUUCUUUGUGGUUUUUGGAUUUCGUAAUCUUGUUCUUUGUGAUUUUUGAAUUUCGUAAUAGUUUGUGUGUUUGCAGUAUACACUUUUACCGUUAGAUCUAGCUCUUUGACUAUUUAUCUCUUGAUUAUGCUAUUACACCAAUCACCACUAAAUCUUAGAAAAAUUACUAUUAUUCUAUUUUACAACAACGAAGAUAUGAUUUAUAUUUAUAUUUAAUUAUACCACAUUUUGCUUUUAAUAUAGGAUUAGUGGCACGAGGGGGUAAAAACAUAAUUUCAACCCCUAACUAAUAUUUAUUCAUCUUAUUCUAUCUUAUACAUACAAAUAUUAUUAUUUUUAUUAUUAUACCAUACAAACAUAAUACUCAACCAAACACAAAUAUUAUUUUUCUUAUUAUUAUACCGUAUGAACAUAAUACUCAACCAAACACAAAAAUCUAAUAGUUCUAGCUAGUUGCAACAUUUAUACCUAUUCCUGGAACUAGCGUUCUACUUUAUACCAGAAAAGAUCAAAUCGCUGUACCCCAUCAUCAAUAAAGCCAGGAAUUACGAUAUGAUAAAAAGAUGCAUAAAUGUUUAAAUAUUAUAAUUUUUAACCGUUUUUCUUUUAAUUCAAAGUUUUAAAUUUCUAAAAUCUAAAAUUUCAAAAUUUAAAUUUUUGCUGAAGUUUUAAAUAUUUCAAUAUGAAUUUUUAUGUUCAAAUUUAAAUUUAAAAUUUGACACGCGAUUUAAAUAUUUUCUGUUUUUUUUUUAGUUCUUCCCUCUCCGCCCGCCUCACCCGAACCCACCUCCCCGCCUCGCUCCCCCCCUCCCGGCCUUGCUCUGCCCGGAUCCGGCCCGGCCACCGAUCUGGGCUCGAGACUUUUUAAUCGGCUUAUGACGUGGGCUUGAAAUAAAUGGGAGGAAAUUAAUAUGCUAGGAGCCUGGCGUGACUCGAACUCAGGACCUCCUGCUCUGAUACCAUAUGAAACAACCGUUGUACUCUAAAAGCUUAAACUGUUAGAGAACGGUGUUUAAAUAUUUUUAUAUUUAACAUUAUUAUUAUUAUUUAUUAUUAUUAAAUUUUUAUUUAUUAUUAUUAUUAUAAAAAUUAAUUAUUAUUAUUAUUAAAUACUAGAGAGAGAGAAAGAGGGGGGAGGAGAGAGAAAGCUGUGCUUGGCAUGUACGUUAGGAGGGAGCGCAGGCUGGUCACUCCCACUCCCCGUCACGUGCCUCAGGUUCCCACUUCAUAUAAGCCUAUAAAUACUCCCACCCACCUCUCCAACUCCUCCAUCAACAACAUCAUACAUACUCCCACUCGCCCUCACGCGCCUCAGGUUUCCACUUCAUACAAGUUUAUAAAUACUCCCACCCACCUCUCCAACCCUUUCAUCAACAACACUCCAAUCCCUAGUCCUUCACCUGUCCAACCUAGUUUAUCCGGACCUCUUAAGCGAUCCUACGAUGGACGGAAAUAAGAAAAGUAAGAUAUUUUUCUUUUUCUUUCUCCCUCUCCUUUGUCUUCUUAUUUUGUAUGCAUUUAUUCAUUUUAUUUAACGAUGAGAGGGUGGCAGCGGACGCAGAUCUCGCGGCGGAGGCGGCGGCGGCCGAGGCCGAUCUUGCUGAUAUGGCUAAAAAACUUAUACGUCUGAGAAUUAGUAAUGAAAAAGAAAAAUAUAAAUUUGAAAAGCUGGCGGCCAAAAAUGAGAAAAUGAUAAAGGAUAAUAAGUUCGUGGUCGCUAGUAAUGUUGCAAUGUCAGCUAUCGCAAUCGGUGCAAUGGCGGGAAAAAAAGGCUUCCGCAUUUCGGAAGUUGCGAAGGAUAUAUCGAAAACUUUUUAAUGGCCUCUGUUUUUUUAAGUGCUUAUGAUUUUUUUUCUUUGUUUUUUUUUUUUUAAUUCGUAUAGUAUCCCGUUUAUAGACAGCUCUCCUCUUCCUCUCUCCCUCACUUAAAUUUAAAUAUUUAAAACUUAAAUUUAAUAUUAAAAAUUUAUUACUUAAAAUUAAAAAUUUAAAAUUUAAAAUUUAAAAUUCAAAUUAAAAUGAAAGAAUUUAAAUUUUGAAUUUGAAAAUUUAAAGUUGUUAAUUAAAAAAAUUAAGAUGUGUGCUUUUAAAUUUGUAAGUUUUAAAAUUUUAAAAUUUUCAAUUGUAAAUCGUGUCUUUUAGGAAUCCAAUCAAUGCAUCGUCCUGAUUGCAUAUGUUGUU